rnacentral:rRNA from 1 species
AGCAGCCCAGAGCCUGAAUCAGUGUGUGUGUUAGUGGAAGCGUCUGGAAAGGCGCGCGAUACAGGGUGACAGCCCCGUACACAAAAAUGCACAUGCUGUGAGCUCGAUGAGUAGGGCGGGACACGUGGUAUCCUGUCUGAAUAUGGGGGGACCAUCCUCCAAGGCUAAAUACUCCUGACUGACCGAUAGUGAACCAGUACCGUGAGGGAAAGGCGAAAAGAACCCCGGCGAGGGGAGUGAAAAAGAACCUGAAACCGUGUACGUACAAGCAGUGGGAGCCUCUUUUAUGGGGUGACUGCGUACCUUUUGUAUAAUGGGUCAGCGACUUAUAUUCUGUAGCAAGGUUAACCGAAUAGGGGAGCCGAAGGGAAACCGAGUCUUAACUGGGCGUUAAGUUGCAGGGUAUAGACCCGAAACCCGGUGAUCUAGCCAUGGGCAGGUUGAAGGUUGGGUAACACUAACUGGAGGACCGAACCGACUAAUGUUGAAAAAUUAGCGGAUGACUUGUGGCUGGGGGUGAAAGGCCAAUCAAACCGGGAGAUAGCUGGUUCUCCCCGAAAGCUAUUUAGGUAGCGCCUCGUGAAUUCAUCUCCGGGGGUAGAGCACUGUUUCGGCAAGGGGGUCAUCCCGACUUACCAACCCGAUGCAAACUGCGAAUACCGGAGAAUGUUAUCACGGGAGACACACGGCGGGUGCUAACGUCCGUCGUGAAGAGGGAAACAACCCAGACCGCCAGCUAAGGUCCCAAAGUCAUGGUUAAGUGGGAAACGAUGUGGGAAGGCCCAGACAGCCAGGAUGUUGGCUUAGAAGCAGCCAUCAUUUAAAGAAAGCGUAAUAGCUCACUGGUCGAGUCGGCCUGCGCGGAAGAUGUAACGGGGCUAAACCAUGCACCGAAGCUGCGGCAGCGACGCUUAUGCGUUGUUGGGUAGGGGAGCGUUCUGUAAGCCUGUGAAGGUGUGCUGUGAGGCAUGCUGGAGGUAUCAGAAGUGCGAAUGCUGACAUAAGUAACGAUAAAGCGGGUGAAAAGCCCGCUCGCCGGAAGACCAAGGGUUCCUGUCCAACGUUAAUCGGGGCAGGGUGAGUCGACCCCUAAGGCGAGGCCGAAAGGCGUAGUCGAUGGGAAACAGGUUAAUAUUCCUGUACUUGGUGUUACUGCGAAGGGGGGACGGAGAAGGCUAUGUUGGCCGGGCGACGGUUGUCCCGGUUUAAGCGUGUAGGCUGGUUUUCCAGGCAAAUCCGGAAAAUCAAGGCUGAGGCGUGAUGACGAGGCACUACGGUGCUGAAGCAACAAAUGCCCUGCUUCCAGGAAAAGCCUCUAAGCAUCAGGUAACAUCAAAUCGUACCCCAAACCGACACAGGUGGUCAGGUAGAGAAUACCAAGGCGCUUGAGAGAACUCGGGUGAAGGAACUAGGCAAAAUGGUGCCGUAACUUCGGGAGAAGGCACGCUGAUAUGUAGG